ACCUUGAUCAUUGUGUAGAGACAAGCCUCUUGUUUCUCCUUUCCCUUUUGUUCCUUUUCUUCUUUCUUCAGACUUAUCUGAAAAUUGAGAUGAAGAUUAUUUACAUCUAUCGGUGGAGGAGUGAUGAGAGACAUCACCGGAGAAUAGUGACCGUACGAUCGUCGGAAAAAUUAUUGAGUUGGAGUAGAGUGUUGUGUGACAAGGAAAAGGCAGUGAAGGAAAAGGUAGUGUGAGGAAAAAGAAUAAAUUGAAAUUGAUUGUCCACAGGCUUGUUUUUCCUUUU